GAGCCACCGCGCCCGGCCCACAGUACAGUUUUACAAAGAAAGGUGUAGCUCCAGGAAAGGAAAGGUGUAGCUCCAGGAAAGGAAAGGAGUAACCUUUACCAUUGACUGUGCUGCAGGACUCUAGCCCUGAUCUGCUCUCUUCUGGGAGCAUCUGAUAGAACGAACAGAAACCCCUCUCCCACUGUCCUCCUGUGUCCAGAGUGGGAGGCAUAACUGCUUUGCCUCCAGUCGUCAUCUGGGGGCAUAUCUACUCUUCGAGGACCAGGGGUUCGGGACCCUGGAACAGGAUCUGAAUUCCAAGCUGACCUCAGGGGUACAUGAAGACUGCUAGAUGAGAUGGGAUCUCACUGUGCUGCCCAGGCUGGUCUCGAACUGCUGGACUCAAGUAAUCCUCCCAUCUUGGCCUCCCAAAGUGCUGGGAUUAUAGGUGUGAGACACUGUGCCUGGCUUUUUUUUUUUUUUCUCCCAACUUUUCUUAAAAUGUUAUCUUCACUUCAGUUAAGCUGCCUUUGUUUGAUCUCUGAGAUCUAAUGUGGAAUGCCUUUUCUUAUACAUUUAUUCAACUUUGG
rnacentral:sRNA from 1 species